rnacentral:tRNA from 2 species
GGGUAGGUCGCAUAGUGGCAAUUGCAGCGGACUGUAAAUCCGCCGACUUUAAGUCUACGCCAGUUCGAGUCUGGCCCUGCCCA